AAAGCGUGCGUAGGCGGCUUUUUAAGUCGGAUGUGAAAUCCCCGAGCUUAACUUGGGAAUUGCAUUCGAUACUGGGAAGCUAGAGUAUGGGAGAGGAUGGUAGAAUUCCAGGUGUAGCGGUGAAAUGCGUAGAGAUCUGGAGGAAUACCGAUGGCGAAGGCAGCCAUCUGGCCUAAUACUGACGCUGAGGUACGAAAGCAUGGGGAGCAAACAGGAUUAGAUACCCGAGU
rnacentral:rRNA from 1 species